UACAGAGGGUGCAAGCGUUAAUCGGAAUUACUGGGCGUAAAGGGUGCGUAGGUGGACGCAUAAGUCGGAUGUGAAAUCCCUGGGCUUAACCUAGGAACUGCAUUCGAAACUGUGAGUCUAGAGUAUGGUAGAGGUAAGUGGAAUUUCCGGUGUAGCGGUGAAAUGCGUAGAUAUCGGAAGGAACAUCAGUGGCGAAGGCGACUUACUGGACUGAUACUGACACUGAGGCACGAAAGCGUGGGGGAGCAAACAGG
rnacentral:rRNA from 1 species